rnacentral:rRNA from 1 species
GACGAACGCUGGCGGCGUGCCUAAUACAUGCAAGUAGAACGCUGAAGAGAGGAGCUUGCUCUUCUUGGAUGAGUUGCGAACGGGUGAGUAACGCGUAGGUAACCUGCCUUGUAGCGGGGGAUAACUAUUGGAAACGAUAGCUAAUACCGCAUAACAAUGGAUGAAACAUGUCCUUUAUUUGAAAGGGGCAAUUGCCCCACUACAAGAUGGACCUGCGUUGUAUUAGCUAGUAGGUGAGGUAAUGGCUCACCUAGGCGACGAUACAUAGCCGACCUGAGAGGGUGAUCGGCCACACUGGGACUGAGACACGGCCCAGACGCCUACGGGAGGCAGCAGUAGGGAAUCUUCGGCAAUGGGGGCAACCCUGACCGAGCAACGCCGCGGGAGGGAAGAAGGGUUUCGGAGCGUAAAGCUCUGUUGUAAGUCAAGAACGGGUGUGAGGGUGGAAAGUUCACACUGUGACGGUAGCUUACCAGAAAGGGACGGCUAACUACGUG